rnacentral:rRNA from 1 species
GAUGAACGCUAGCGGCAGGCCUAAUACAUGCAAGUCGAACGCUCAGUAGCAAUACUGGGAGUGGCGCACGGGUGCGUAACGCGUACACAAUCUACCUCUAAGCGGGGGACACCUCCUGGAAACGGGGAUUAAUACCGCAUAAUAUGCCGAAGUCGCAUGACUUUGGUAUUAAAGCAGCAAUGCACUUAGAGAUGAGUGUGCGUCCCAUUAGGUAGUUGGUGAGGUAACGGCUCACCAAGCCUAUGAUGGGUAGCCGGUCUGAGAGGAUGGUCGGCCACACGGGCACUGAGACACGGGCCCGACUCCUACGGGAGGCAGCAGUAAGGAAUAUUGGUCAAUGGUGGAAACACUGAACCAGCCAUGCCGCGUGGAGGAAUAAGGUCCUACGGAUUGUAAACUCCUUUUGUACGAGGAAGAAAAUGUUAGAUUUAUCUAAUUUUGACGGUACUCGUAGAAUAAGCACCGGCUAACUACCGUGCCAGCAGCCGCGGUAAU